AGGUUGCUCUUCCUAAAGCGAGUAUGAGGAUGUCCUUCCACAGAAAAGAUAACCUGUUGAAAAAAUGUAUUCUGCAAAAGUUGGUAAUAUGAAAAUAGACUACUGGGUUCUUGCUGUGACUAUAUUGUAAUGGAUGUGGAGUAAAAGGCGGUGGUCUAAUACUGCUAAUAGUUAGGCCAGCAUUUACUAUAAUUUUUCAGUAUGGAUUGAUGUUUAAAAUAGCCAUUAGAGCUGACUUUUAAGGGUACAGCAUGACAGCUUGUCCAUUAGGAUUUAUAUUGGACCAUUGACAUUGACUUUUAAGCCUACCAUUACAGUGACUACUGUGGCUGCAUAAAAGAAUUGUGAUUAAGUUUGUAUUCUCUUAUUGAUGGCAUACUGUUACCCUACUGUGAAUGUUAUCAUUCAAAGGACACAGCUUUCAAUUAAGUUCAUCAUAACAUUGUGCUAGUACUUGAUAACAACUGUUGUGCCAUGGCAUUCUUGUAAUGUUAGACUUAUCUGCUGCAUUUGAAGUUACUGAACAGCUGAUUCUGAUAAAACAGUGUGCUAGCACUAGAUAACAAGUGUUGUGCCAUUCUUGUAAUGUUAGACUUAUCUGCUGCAUUUGAAGUUACUGAACAGCUGAUUCUGAUAAAACAGUGUGCUAGCACUAGAUAACAAGUGUUGUGCCAUUCUUGUAAUGUUAGACUUAUCUGCUGCAUUUGAAGUGACUGAACAGCUGAUUCUGAUUGAACAUCAUCUUGAAUACUCUUACAUAAUAUCUAAAUAAGCCCUUUCAUGGAUUACAUUUAACCAAAGCAACAGAACAUAGCUUAUCUCUUAUACAUAUUGAUAAUGAUGAUAUGCAGGUACAUUUUGUUGUACCACAAGGCUCUGAAUCAGGGUAACACAACAAGGCUCUCUAUUAGGAUUACAACAAGACUCUCUAUUAGGAUUACAACAAGGCUCUCUAUUAGGAUAACCACAAGGCUCUCUAUUAGGAUUGUAAAUGUACUGUAUGUUUUUUUACCCUUUGAGGAAAUUUGCAGAAGUACUCUAUGGAAAAAAUGCAACCUUAAUAUCUUAAUUGCAACAUAUGGAAGAGAUGCAGCCAUAAUAUCUUGAUUGCAACACAUGGAAGAAAUGCAGCCAUAAUAUCUUAAUUGCAUCACAUGGAAGAAAUGCAGCCAUAAUAUCUUAAUUGCAACAUAUGGAAGAAAUGCAGCCAUGAUAUCUUAAUUGCAACAUAUGGAAGAAAUGCAGCCAUAAUAUCUUAAUUGCAACAUAUGGAAGAAAUGCUGCCAUAAUUUCUUAAUUGCAACAUAUGGAAGAAAUGCAGCCAUAAUAUCUUAAUUGCAACAUAUGGAAGAAAUGCAGCCAAAAUACCUUAAUUGCAACAUAUGGAAGAAAUGCAGCCAUAAUAUCUUAAUUGCAACAUUUUGAAGAAAUGCAGCCAUGAUAUCUUAAUUGCAACAUAUUCAACUUAUUUUGUUGUGUAAACUGCUUAGAGUAUAUUUUGUUGUAUAAACUGCUUAGAGUAUAUUUCGUGGUGUAAACCUCUUAGAGUAUAUUUUGUGAUGUAAACCUCUUAGAGUUUAUUUUGUGGUGUAAAUCGUUUAGAGUAUAUUUUGUUGUGUAAACUGCUUAGAGUAUAUUUUGUGGUGUAAACCUCUUUGAGUAUAUUUUGUGGUGUAAACCACUUAGAGUAUAUUUUG